AACUGCUGCGCCAGUGCUACUGUGCAGCGCAUGCGCAGUGCCAGCAGCUUAGGUCGGAGCAGUCGGAUAGCAACGGAAAGCCCAUCAACAGAAACAACGGCACCGCGGAGAAAGGGGACUGCGCUCGCCUCAAUCUUUUCUCUUAGGUGGUGAAACCCAUUCUGGUUCUCAGUCAUUAAACACCGACAUAAACUAAGCACUGCAGGAGGAUGGCGGUGAAUGUCUACUCCACUUCUAUGAAUGCUGAAAACCUGAGUCGUCAUGACAUGCUGGCAUGGGUCAACGACUCUCUACAGCUCACCUACACAAAGAUUGAACAGCUCUGUUCAGGUGCUGCUUACUGCCAAUUCAUGGACAUGCUGUUUCCAGGCUGCAUAUUAUUGAAAAAAGUCAAGUUUAACGCCAAACUGGAACACGAAUACAUCCACAACUUUAAGGUUUUACAGGCUGCGUUCAAGAGAAUGAACGUGGACAAGAUCAUCUCUGUGGAGAGGUUGGUGAAGGGGAAAUUCCAGGACAACUUUGAGUUCCUUCAGUGGUUUAAGAGGUUUUUUGAUGCCAACUACGACGGGAAAGAGUACGACCCUCUACUGAUGAGGCAGGGUCAGGAAGCAACGGUACCUAACCCAGGUCCCAUGAGAACAUCUCCCACAGCACCGAAGACCGUCCCUGUUCCACAGAGACAGAUCAACCCACCAGCAGCCCGCAGGAGCAAUCCAGUGACCCGCAACGGAGGAGAUGCAGAGCUCGUAGAACUUAACCAGCAGAUAAUGGAUAUGAAACUGACUAUAGAUGGACUGGAGAAGGAGAGGGACUUCUACUUUGGGAAACUGAGAGACAUUGAGCUCAUCUGUCAGGAAAACGAAAGUGAAACUAAUCCAGUACUCGGCAAAAUCAUUGAUAUACUGUAUGCUACAGAGCAGAGACAGGGAAGCUGGUAAAGUUGAUGGAAAGAUGGGUGGAGCUGAAUACGGAGCCAUCCAGGAAGGAAAUAUCUAGAAUGGCCUAGUCAAAGUCCAGAAAUAAGACUCCAUGGCAAGCCUUGAAAAGACGGAUUUGCACCUCCAGAAGAUGAUGAAAUUGACGAAGGACCACGAGAUCAGGAGGAGUUCUGAAAUCUUCCUCUUUUUUCACCUCCAUCUCUCACCUGUCAUACUUUAAUCAGACCAUUGAGUCUUUUUUGCGUGGUUGUACCCCUUAAGUUCAUUUUUAAAAUCUCCCCUGACUUCUUCCAUCUCAUUUACAGCUUUACACGUCCAUGAUGACUUUGUUGGACAGGCUAGCUCCCCAGACUUUGACUUGGAAAGGACACUAACCUAGAUGUGUCUGGACAAGGGUCCAGCAGCCUAGCAUGGCUUGACUGACUAAUUCUAACCGGUUUUCAGAGGGGGCAGCUGCACUGCACAUUGACUUCAGUGUGUCACAUAUUCAGAGUUAACAGCAAUGGGAUUUUAAAGCUGCAGCACUGGAGGCAGCAGUGCUUUGAAUCUGUCUGUGUGAGGAGACAAGGCACAUCCUUGCUCCAAGCGUUUAUACAUGAAACAUUAAGUUUUACAAGCAAUGCGAUUCUCUUUUCAAAGUGAGAUUAUGAAAAAAUGUUUCACCUCUUAGGAGUGCGGCCAGCAAAAUGGAAAUAUUUUAAUUAUAUGAUGACAAGUGAACGAUUAGCUCAACAGACAUAUCACAGACUCUGAACAGCACACAUAUACAUGCUUAAAGCGACUCCUCGCCCUGAAGACAAAAUUCAGAUGCGUUCGGGUUCAUCAAGUUGUCCCACACGAGAUCGUUUGCUCAUGAAACUGUUAUGACAGCUUGUUAGGUGUAGCCUGGUGUAUUUAUGUUUCUAUUUAUUUAUUUUUGUUAAUCUGCUCUGUACAGUUUCCGAAGAAAAAUAUGUUUUGGAUUUGGGGAGAUUGAAGGUCUUGCACUAAAUGUAGCGAAACAAACCGACUGAAAUGAUCCAAAAUGCCAACAUGCAGUGACUGGCUGCUGCCAGGAAGAUACAGGAAGAUGCAAUUUUAUAUUUUGUAGAUUUAUUUUAAAGAAUGUUUUUUUUUUAUUGCAUUAAAUUCCUCAGUGGUCAAGUCAAAAGCAUCUUUUUAAAGCUUAUCAAACAAAUAUUAGGCCAUAAAAUCUAUGAAUGAACAAACACUGCAGAUCAACACUACUAAAUACUAAUGUUUGACUGUGUUUAUUUAGUUAAACAUCAUUCCUCUGUUGCCGCAUUUGAGUUUUCACAUGUUGCAAAGCGUUAAAACGCCAUCAUGGCUGCCAAGGAAACAAAGGUUUGGUUUGUUGUGAUUAAUAACCAGGUUGAGCAUGACUGACAUUAGUUGAAGGAGUCAGAGAGUAGAAGACAUCCGACCCUCUCUUGCUGUUUCUUACCAUGGUAGCCAUGUGAUCAACUUGCUUCAUUUGGAGUUACUGCUGGAAUGAAAUAAAGCUCUGAGGUUUCAAGAAAAUGAAA